CGUAUCACCCAAGACAACUUUACGGAGUUGACGAUUGACGGAGCGAAGCGACGUCAAAGCGUUCAUUAAAGUCGAGUUGGCUUAGGGAUACGUUCGUUGGGUAGGGGAGCGUUCUGUAAGCCUGUGAAGGUGUGUCGUGAGGCAUGCUGGAGGUAUCAGAAGUGCGAAUGCUGACAUAAGUAACGAUAAAGCGGGUGAAAAGCCCGCUCGCCGGAAGACCAAGGGUUCCUGUCCAACGUUAAUCGGGGCAGGGUGAGUCGACCCCUAAGGCGAGGCCGAAAGGCGUAGUCGAUGGGAAACGGGUUAAUAUUCCCGUACUUGGUGUUACUGCGAAGGGGGGACGGAGAAGGCUAUGUUGGCCGGGCGACGGUUGUCCCGGUUUAAGCGUGUAGGUGUGUGUUCCAGGUAAAUCCGGUUCACUUUAACACUGAGGCGUGACGACGAGGCACUACGGUGCUGAAGCAACAAAUGCCCUGCUUCCAGGAAAAGCCUCUAAGCAUCAGGUAACACGAAAUCGUACCCCAAACCGACACAGGUGGUCAGGUAGAGAAUACCAAGGCGCUUGAGAGAACUCGGGUGAAGGAACUAGGCAAAAUGGUGCCGUAACUUCGGGAGAAGGCACGCUGACACGUAGGUGA
rnacentral:rRNA from 1 species